GUGGGGAAUAUUGGGCAAUGGGGGCAACCCUGACCCAGCGACGCCGCGUGAGGGAAGAAGGCCUUAGGGUCGUAAACCUCUGUUGUGUGGGAAGAAGGAAGUGACGGUACCACACGAGGAAGUCCCGGCUAACUACGUGCCAGCAGCCGCGGUAAUACGUAGGGGACGAGCGUUGUCCGGAAUUACUGGGCGUAAAGGGCGCGUAGGCGGUCAUUUAAGUCAGCUGUGAAAUGGUCCGGCUCAACCGGAUCAUGCGGUUGAAACUGGAUGACUGGAGUGCUGGAGAGGCAAGUGGAAUUCCCAGUGUAGCGGUGAAAUGCGUAGAUAUUGGGAAGAACACCGGUGGCGAAGGCGACUUGCUGGCCAGCAACUGACGCUGAGGCGCGAAAGCCAGGGGAGCAAACGGGAUUAGAAACCCCGGUAGUCC
rnacentral:rRNA from 1 species